rnacentral:rRNA from 1 species
UCCGUAGAUGAACCUGCGGAAGGAUCAUUG